GCGGGAGUAUUCGAGUGGCCAAAGAAGUCGGACUUAAGAUCCGGUCCCUAGCGGUUCGGGGGUUCGAAUCCCCUCUCCCGCA
rnacentral:tRNA from 1 species